rnacentral:rRNA from 1 species
AUUGAACGCUGGCGGCAGGCUUAACACAUGCAAGUCGAGCGGGGUGAUGGUGGUUGCACUAUCACUUAGCGGCGGACGGGUGAGUAAUGCUUAGGAAUCUGCCCAUUAGUGGGGGACAACAUCUCGAAAGGGAUGCUAAUACCGCAUACGUCCUACGGGAGAAAGCAGGGGAUCACUUGUGACCUUGCGCUAAUAGAUGAGCCUAAGUCGGAUUAGCUAGUUGGUGGGGUAAAGGCCUACCAAGGCGACGAUCUGUAGCGGGUCUGAGAGGAUGAUAGGCCAAACUGGGACUGGGACACGGCCCAGACUCCUACGGGAGGCAGAAGUGGGGAAUAUUGGACAAUGGGGGGAACGCUGAUCCAGCCAUGCCGCGUGUGUGAAGAAGGCCUUAUGGUUGUAAAGCACUUUAAGCGAGGAGGAGGCUCUUUUGGUUAAUACCCAAGAUGAGUGGACGUUACUCGCAGAAUAAGCACCGGCUAACUCUGUGCCAGCCGCCGCAGUAA